UUCUACGAGCGGUCACGAGCUACCCACCUUCAACGUUCAAGAGUCACCCAACCACUGUGAUUCACGGCGUACGGUUCAUCUAGAUGCAAGGACCACGACGUGAACGACCUUGAACUUGAGCACGUGGGUCGCGUGCACAUCUUUCCUUCACCUAAUAGCCAACGCUGGAUGGAAACGGACGAAAAACCUUUUAAAAAUCCGUUCGGAGAGUGUUUAAGGUCCAACGAAAUUAGGGUUUCUUUCCCCUCUCUCUUUCCAUGGUCUUCCCGCGAUAAAAACCCUAGAUCUGUUCGAGGUUGAAAUUUAGGAUUUUUUGCCGAUCGAGAUCUGAAGCUGAAUCAGAAGUUCAAUCGAUAGCGAUUAUUCAGAAAUUGGCUGAAGAUCUUCGAAGGGGGUGAAAAAAAAAAUCAGUGUCUGGCGAAAGAUUAGGCGAUCCAAGGAGGGAGAUCGAGGUGAAAAAUUCCUAUAUUUUUAUUUUAGAUUUUUGAGCUUCGAUUCGCAGAGUGCAUUGCUGGUGAAAAGAUCUAUGAGGAAAUUAGAAGAAUUCAAUCCGCAAAAGCAAUGAAGAAAGGGAGUUGAAAUUAUUUUCAUCUGAAGUGCGUUUUUUGUUUGCUCGUUAUGCAUAUAUGUAUUGCCUGAAAGAGUGAAGUCAGGAAAAAAUGGUUCUGAGUUCUUGAAAUUGGUUGAAUUUCUGUGAUUUUCUAAAAAAAUUGAAUCCAUGGGUAUGGAAAUUGGGGGGAAUUUUUGGAGCAAUGAAGAUAAGGCAGCGGCGGAAGCCGUUCUUGGUAAUGAAGCUUUCGCCUUUUUAACGUCGUCUAUCAAUUCCUCGCCCGAAGGCUUGGUCAUGCCAGCUGGCGAUGCUGGCGUGCAGCAGAAGCUAUGCCAGCUUGUUGAGGGAUGUGGGUCCUGGACGAGCUGGACAUAUGCUAUCUUCUGGCAGGUCUCAAGGUCCAAAUCCGGUGAACUGGCUCUGAGUUGGGGUGAUGGCCAUUGCAUAGAGCCGAAGGAAGGAGAAGGCGGAGGCAAAGAUGAAGGGCCUGGGAGUUUCGAAUAUCGGAGGCGGGCCAGAGAUGGUGAGCAGGGAAUGAGGAAGAGGGUUCUCCAGAAGCUACACUCAUUCUUUGGAGGUUCGGAUGAGGAUAAUUAUGCCGUCCGGUUGGAUUCUGUAUCGGAUGUGGAGAUGUUUUAUCUGACAUCCAUGUACUACUCCUUCACGUGCAGUGUUGGGGCAGGCCCGGCUCGGGCAUUUUCUUCCGGUAAACCCAUCUGGGUUUCAGACCCGGAUAGCUGUUCAGACCAUUAUCAUUCAAGGGCAUUUCUUGCACGCUUGGCUGGACUCCGAACCUUGGCAUGCGUUCCGAUUGAGUCAGGGGUUCUGGAGCUUGGCUCGGUUAAAUUGAGCCCUGAAGAUCGGAGCAUUCUGCAGACAAUCAGAAAUGUAUUUAUGGGUUCUCUUCCGCCUCAAGUAAAUUGUGCUAAAAUAUUUGGACAGAAUCUCAGCGUCAGUGGUGCAAAAUCUCAUCCUAUUGUUGCAAAUAUCACUCCGAAGGUUGAAGAUUCAGGUUUUUCUUCUGAAGUUUAUAAAGUACCGGCACCAAUUUCAAAACAGAAUUCUGUGGCUACAAACAGGGAAACGGUGAUGAAUCGAAUGCAUGAUAGGAAUUUUUCUAAUUUAGGUAGAACUAGAACCGAAGUGAACGAAUUUAAAUUGUUUCCGCAGCCAAACCAGAUGAACUUUGCAGGUGUGAACCCUCAAGCAAUGGUGGUAGGGGAAUUAGAACAUCCAAAGGAUGAAGAUGAGAGGAAACCAAGAAAGAGAGGGAGAAAGCCUGCUAGUGGGAGAGAAGAACCUUUGAAUCACGUCGAAGCUGAGCGGCAGAGGCGGGAGAAGCUUAACCAGAGGUUUUACGCAUUGAGAUCCGUUGUCCCAAAUAUAUCAAAAAUGGACAAAGCCUCAUUGCUUGGAGAUGCCAUCACGUAUAUUACGGAUCUUCAGAAGAAGAUUAGGGUCUUGGAAGCCGAGAGAGAGAUUGCAGGUGUUCAGAAGGAAGUGUGUAUCCCAGACAUUGAUGUCCAAACAACGGUUGAGGACGUGGUUGUUCGAGUGAGCUGCCCAUUGGACGCUCACCCUGUUGCCAAAGUUAUUAGAACAUUCCAAGAAAUGCAAAUCAGUUAUUAUGAUUCGAAGGUUUCCACAGAGAGUGGCUCGGUUCUUCAUACGUUCUUGAUCAGGCCUCAAGGGGGUGGGGGCGAGCUUUUGAAGGAUAAGUUGAUUGCUGCACUUUCUCAAUGACCCAAUCAAAUAUGAGCUUAUGAAAAUGUACCUGCCCAAAAACCUCAUUCCUCGGCAGCAUCUCUGCUAUAGGCAGUCUUAUAUGACUUCUCCGACUGCCGAAUAAUAUGUUGCCUAUUUGAAAACAGCUGAUAUAUUCAAAGGAUCGGAGAUCUUGGGAUUUCCUCUGACAUGUCUAGUUUCGUGAAGAACAUUUUCGAAUCGUUCAGUAUCGCAUUGGAGGAAGAAGCUUUUCUAUCAUCGCCGUUUUGUAGGGCUUGUGUGAUCUUAGAGGGUGCAAUUCUCCAUGUUUGGUCAUCGGUGGGGCCCGUGGGCCAUCCACAUUCUGGCUUGAGCUGCCAUAGCGGGCUUCCUGGCCUGCAUUGUUUUUGAUGUUCUGAUUGCAAGAAUGUCGUUGCAGCAGAAAGUGACAAAAUACCUUGAUGCUGGGCCAGAGUUCAUACCUCAAAGAUGGGUCUAUACAUGGUACUAGUGAGGCCCAUGGUUCUGGGAUCCAAACUGUUGAUAUGAUGGGCAUCAAUGUGACCUGUUCUGUGCACCAGAAAAUAAAAAGGUCCGGAGGUUUAGGUGACAGAGUCUACUCAUUCGAUGGGUGAACCAUAACCACCCGUUUUGUGGGACUAUCUAUUUUCAACAUCCAUUUGGUGGUCAAACAAAGGUAAAGAUUGGUCUCAUGGUUGUGUAGUUUUUCUACCAUUUGCAGUCCAAUGGUAUGGUCCACCUUGGCAACAAAAGACAACCUGGAUUUGCGGGCAGUGCAUUUGCUUCUAAAACGGCAAUAGAAGGUAGAGGCAUUGUUUGGUAUCAGAAUGCAGAGUUUCUUGAGUUGGUUGAAACAUUGGAACUAUUGACUUGUUAGAAGUUCCAUUCGAGGCCUUGUUUGGUAACUGAAUCCAGAGUUUCUGGAAUUUGUAGAAACAUUGGCACCAUAUGACUUCUUGG